rnacentral:rRNA from 1 species
GGGGAAUAUUGCACAAUGGGCGAAAGCCUGAUGCAGCAACGCCGCGUGAGUGAUGACGGUCUUCGGAUUGUAAAGCUCUGUCCUUUGGGACGAUAAUGACGGUACCAAAGGAGGAAGCCACGGCUAACUACGUGCCAGCAGCCGCGGUAAUACGUAGGUGGCAAGCGUUGUCCGGAUUUACUGGGCGUAAAGGAUGUGUAGGCGGAUACUUAAGUGAGAUGUGAAAGCCCCGGGCUCAACCUGGGGACUGCAUUUCAAACUGGGUAUCUAGAGUGCAGGAGAGGAAAGCGGAAUUCCUAGUGUAGCGGUGAAAUGCGUAGAGAUUAGGAAGAACAUCAGUGGCGAAGGCGGCUUACGGGAGCACAACUGACGCUGAAGCUCGAAAGUGCGGGUAUCGAAC